rnacentral:tRNA from 1 species
UCAGUGGCCGAGUGGAUAACGCGAUUGCGUUUGAAGCGAAAGGUACUGGGUUCGAGUCCCAGAGUGA